rnacentral:rRNA from 1 species
AGAAGCGAACCUGCGAAGGCAAGCGGAUCUCUUAAAGCCGUUCUCAGUUCGGACUGUAGGCUGCAACUCGCCUACACGAAGCUGGAAUCGCUAGUAAUCGCGGAUCAGCACGCCGCGGUGAAUACGUUCCCGGGCCUUGUACACACCGCCCGUCAUACCAUGAGAGUCUGUAACACCCAAAGCCGGUGGGAUAACCUUUAUAGGAGUCAGCCGUCUAAGGUAGGACAGAUGAUUAGGGUGAAGUCGUAACAAGGUAGC